GAUGAACGCUGGCGGCGUGCCUAAUACAUGCAAGUCGAGCGAACGGACGAGAAGCUUGCUUCUCUGAUGUUAGCGGCGGACGUGUGAGUAACACGUGGAUAACCUACCUAUAAGACUGGGAUAACUUCGGGAAACCGUAGCUAAUACCGGAUAAUAUUUUGAACCGCAUGGUUCAAAAGUGAAAGACGGUGUUGCUGUCACUUAUAGAUGGAUCCGCGCUGCAUUAGCUAGUUGUUAAGGUAACGGCUUACCAAGGCAACGAUGCAUAGCCGAACUGAGAGGGUGAUAGGCGACACGGGAACUGAGACACGGUCCAGACUACUAAGGGAGGCAGCAGUAGGCAAUCGGCCGCAACGGGCGAAAGCCUGACGGAGCAACGCCGAGUGAGUGAUGAAGGUCUUCGGAUCGUAAAGCUCUGUUAUUAGGUAAGAACAUAUGUGUAAGUAACUGUGCACAUCUUGACGGUACCUAAUCAGAAAGCCACGGCUAACUACGUG
rnacentral:rRNA from 1 species